AGGAAAAUGAUUUUAUUGGUUGAAUUAGCUAGUCGUCCUCCUAAAAUUCUAGUUAUAAAUACACCAUAAAAUGUGUAAGUAAAAAACUGUUUUUGUAAGUUUAUUGUGACGGUUGGGUAGCAGAUAAUUUCUUUCUUCGUCUAAAAGUUAUACAGUACAAUUGGAUUAUUCAAGAAUGGUUUGGUGCAAUAAUUAUUGGUGCAGUUAUUGUGCAAAAUUCAUCCAACCCAACUAUUAUGGUGACAAAAUUUUAUGUGGGAAAGUCCUUGAUGAAGUCCUUGUGGCUCAACAGACCCUAGCCACACCAUUAUGACGGGUGUUUGAAGAAAGAUGAUAUUCUACAUUAAUUGACGGCCACACAAGUUUUUAUUUUAUUGGAUACGGUGGAUGAGGUGCAAAAGGACAGAUGGCAUUACCAAGAACCAGAUAUGGUGUCCCUGGACCUCGGCGCGGUGGAGAUUUUCUAUUUAGUUGCAGUUAAUAGAACAGCCAUUAUCUCUCGAUAUAUAUUAGUUUGAACGGGUAAAAGCACACAAAAAAAAUUACCAGUAACAUUUCUAAUCAUCACGGUAGCAACACUCAUACCUUGAUUAGCUCUUGAAUUUAAAUUUAUCAACAAGGCCGGGCUGGGUCAACUCGAAACCGGCCUAUGCUUUUAACCGGUUCGUGAGUCGAUUCAGUUCUGAAUCUGUUUUAAUGGGCCGGUCCGAUAUAAUAUUUUUUUAAGAAAUAACUCGAGACUGACCCAUUACACAGACCGAUCCAAUCCGGGUCAAACCGGUCAAAACCUAAAAAAAAAAAAAAAA